GACGAACGCUGGCGGCGCGCUUAACACAUGCAAGUCGAGCGAAGCGGCGGACGGGUGAGUAACACGUAAGUAACCUGCCUUAGACAUUGGGCUAGCCUCGGGAAACCGGAAUUAAUACAAAAUGGUCUAAGAUGAACUCGCGGCCCAUUAGCUCGUUUGUGAGGUAACGGCCCACCAAGGCGACGAUGGGUAGCCGGCCUGAGAGGGUGAACGCACACAUUGGAACUGGGAAACGGUCCAAACUCUACGGGAGGCAGCAGUGGGGAAUAUUGCACAAUGGAGGGAACUAUGAUGCAGCGACGCCGGGUGAACGAAGAAGGCUUUCGAGUCGUAAAGUUCUUUUAUAUGGGAAGCGGUACCAUAAGAAAAAGCCCCGGCUAACUACGUGCCAGCAGCCGCGGUAAUUC
rnacentral:rRNA from 1 species